rnacentral:misc_RNA from 1 species
CGCAUAUUGCGCCCAUUGGUAUUCCGAUGGGCACACCUGUUCGAGCGUCAUUACACCCCUCAAACCUAGGUUUGAUGUUGGGCCCAGCCUUUGACGGCAAGCCUAAAAAUUAGCGAUGGUAACCUUCAACCACAGGCGCACAGAUGCUGUCAUGAUGGAAGAUGGGGAUCAGUCUUAACCAAAAUUCUGAAUGUUGACCUCGGAUCAGGUGGGGAUACCCGCUGAACUUAA